GAUGAACGCUGGCGGCAGGCCUAACACAUGCAAGUCGAACGGAUCCUUCGGGAUUAGUGGCGGACGGGUGAGUAACGCGUGGGAACAUACCCUUUGGUACGGAAUAGCCUCGGGAAACUGGGAGUAAUACCGUAUGUGGUCGAGAGACGAAAGAUUUAUCGCCAAAGGAUUGGCCCGCGUUGGAUUAGGUAGUUGGUGGGGUAAUGGCCUACCAAGCCGACGAUCCAUAGCUGGUUUGAGAGGAUGAUCAGCCACACUGGGACUGAGACACGGCCCAGACGCCUACGGGAGGCAGCAGUGGGGAAUCUUAGACAAUGGGGGAAACCCUGAUCUAGCCAUGCCGCGUGAUCGAUGAAGGCCUUAGGGUUGUAAAGAUCUUUCAGGUGGGAAGAUAAUGACUGUACCACCAGAAGAAGCCCCGGCUAACUCCGUGCCAGCAGCCGCCGUAACAC
rnacentral:rRNA from 1 species